CCGAGUUUACAACUCCCAGACCCCUGUGAACAUACCUAUAUGUUGCCUCGGCGGAUCAGCCCGCGCCCCGUAAAACGGGACGGCCCGCCGCAGGAUCCACAAACUCUGUUUUUAUUGUAACUUCUGAGUAACAAAACAAAUAAAUCA
rnacentral:misc_RNA from 1 species